rnacentral:rRNA from 1 species
CUUCCAAGAUGAAUUCACCCACAGGGUUAACCUGGUAAGGCCCGUGGUAGACCACCACGUUGAUAGGCCGGAAGUGUAAGCGUGGCAACACGUUCAGCUGACCGGUACUAAUCGGCCGAGGGCUUGAGUUC